rnacentral:tRNA from 1 species
CCCUCGAUAGCUCAGUUGGCACAGCGGAGGACUGUAGAUGUUACAACGGUGAUCCUUAGGUCGCUGGUUCAAAUCCGGCUCGAGGGA